AUACAAAAACAAAGAUACGAAAAAAAGGAAAAAUAAAAUAAACAGAAAAUUUCAUUGUGUUUAGUUUGACAUAAGAAAGAAGUGGAACAAAAUACAAAAGUAGGAAAAGUAACAAAGUUAGUUUCGAAAAAUUAUUCAGCAGACCCAAAUAGAAAACUAAAGCUACUUUCAGAUCACAGCAAAAGUAUUAAUAAUCUCAAGAACUUGUAAAUAUCAGAGUGUGUUGUAAACGGGGGUUUGGUUUUGUGUGUGUGUGUGUGCGUGUUAAAUUUAAAUCAUUAUCCUUUAAGGCUAGCAGCAAGGACAUGCCGCUGGCGGCAUGACAAACAGUCCUAACGCCCAAUUAAACGCAUCAGCUAAUUUGCCAUGUUCAUAAUUCUGCCUAAUGUCAUCUGGCGCAGCCCAUUACUCCACUUAAAAAGCAGCCCAUAAACGGGAUAUUAAAAAUGUGGCAUUCCUUGGCUCAUUUUCUACCAUCAUAAUCUUUUUCCUCUGCCGCCUAGGCAAUUAAUAAUUUUCCCUUUUUUGUUUGCGCCCUUCGCCGCAAAAAUAAAACAAAACAAAAAAACAAAAUAAAUUCCUAUUAUACUUUCUGCUUAUGACGGUUUAAAUGAAAUUAACCAUAACGGUCGAGCGGCUCCAAGCAGAAGGAAAGGCGUAAGACGAGCCGCCAGCUUUUGAAAACUUUUCGGGCGCCACAAAGCAAGCGGAUGUGGGCGUAGUUCUCGGGGUGGGGCGGGGGCGUGGCACUUAGCCAGAAAGUCGCUUGUAAGUAGCGCUCAGUACAUUGAAAUUGGCGCAGCCGUUUUUAUGGCUUCAAUAAAAUUGGGCAUCAGCAUCGAAAGUGGGCUUCUUACGAGGAGCUCCCAAAAUGGGGGGAGACCCUUUUGGAGCCGCUAUCGCAUGCAUAUAGACAGAGUGACUUGGCUUUGUUGUCUGCGACGCCACUCGAACGGCGGCUGCCGCAAAGUGUUUGCCACAUAACUCAAAUCGAGCACUUCCAGACUCCCGUUUUCCCAACCCACCCACCAUGCCACCAUCAUCGGCGGAGGGCUUAUUAAACGUGCCACUCCCCUUCAUCGGCGGAGAACAAUGUGUAAUCGUUUAAAAUGACAAAUGGCGCCUCAUUCGUCUAGUACACUAAGAAAAAACUUUUCGAAAAUUCUAUAAAACAGUAAAAAUUUAAAUAGCUUGUUUCUACAUUCAACUAAUUAGUUGCAGUGAUUUUACUCCAUUGAUAAUCAGACACACCACCUCAGUGGUCGUAAAUUAUGCAACCUAGUGGGUAAUAAGCAGCUCGCAUGAUGUUUUUGGCCCACAAUCCAGAUUUACGGCCAGCAACUGUCCAGACUGGCAAUUAAAACUUACGCUUCCGCCUCGGAGCGUUCGCUUUGAUGGCCGGACACGGAUGGAGCUCCAAGGGCCUCGGAUCAGGAGUCGCAUCAAUCAAAUUAUACCUUUGAGCCGGACCAACUUUGCCGAGCCGAUUUUCCCAAUUAGCGCGAGCAGCGUAGAGUCCUUGCCCGCCAGCCUCUUCAGCCGAUUAGGCCAGACUGUUUGAAAUGGGCGCCCCGAAAAGUUGCAGAUUUAAUUAAACCGAAUUUAAAAUUCAAUGAGCGUAACUUUUUUCUCAAACAUAAGACCGAAAUCAAAUCUAUGCUGGGCUAAAUUCAUGUAUGCAAUAUCUUUUUACACGGGAAAAUAUAAGAUACUCAAAUGAAAUGAGUUGCAAUAAAAAAGUUUUUUUCCGCAUAAUAUACCUAAACUACCAUUUAAAUAUUGGCACUAAAUAAAUCAGUUUCAAGCCCGAGAUUUCGUUCUUUCACUUAAUGAGUUUUCUUAGAAUCAACAGGAAAAUUUGUGGCAAAUUGUGGAAAAACGAAUCGAGGCAAGGAAAACAAACCAGUUGAAAAAACAGAGCGGAAACGUCCUAAACGAAACGAAAAUGAAAAAGGGAAAAUUACAAGAGGAGUAAAUUAAUUUCGGCGGUGAAGGAUUUUCCAGUCAUUCUCUCUCCCUCUUGUCGUCUCUGUUUUUGGCCUUUGUGAGAGGACCUGGUCAGUAGAAGGACUUCGGGGCUGGCCACAAGCUCCUGGGCUCCCUAAUUGCCCCCGAAAAGUGGAAGAGAGGGGAAAAUUGCAUAGCGGAAAUGGAAAAUGAAGCACAAGAAGCGAACUGUAAUGAGUUCGAUGAAAGGAUCUCGCGGCGACUUUUUAAUUGAACCCGCUUGCUCCUCUCUUUCUGUCUCUCAUGGUAACUCUUUGCAAUUUGUCAACGUUUCUGGUGGCAAUUUCCGCCUCAAGCUUUGCCGGCUUAUGCCUUUCGAUCAUCGUGAGCCUUUUAAACUAAUUGAGUUCAUGUUUUAUUAAUUGGCCGGCUCAAAGGAGCAGUCAACCGGGUCCAGACACGCUUUUCCGGCUACGGCUCGGUCUCGUAAAUAAACGAUUAGCAAAGGGGACACACACGCACGCAUGCAACAAACUUUGCUGGAGCAUCAAAAAUGUUAGGUGAAGUGGAAAGAGUCUGGAAAAUCCUAGUACCACACUGCUAGUGAACUCGUUGACCCUUAAAGCUGGAAGUCGACGAGUUCCCACAUUAAAUGUUUGGAAUUAGGACCUCCACCUUUCCACGUUUCCUGGCCAGCCUGCUUGUGCAACGCACAAUUCAAUUAGCCAAAACUAAUCCCAGUGCCCAACUCUUUCCAGUUGCCGUUUCCGGUACCUAUCAUCUAUCAUCUGUAAGCCAGCUCAAAAAGGUAUCAACUCUCCCGCACACUUAGCCCAAUUGCAAUCAUAGUACAGUUGCACACUGUGCAAAAUUAGUCAGGAAAGGAUAAUAAAAAAUAUAAAAAAUAUGGUACAUAAUCAAAAUACAAAGAUAAAAACUUUAAAUUAUGUAAAAUAUAUUUUAUUUAAACUGCACAAUUUUUCUUGUUGUGCAAAGCAGUCGGUUAAUUCCUUUUUUCGUGUUGCAAACCCAGGGUAAUAGAAAAAAGGACAAACAUGCAGACACAGUCAAGUGCUGGGCAAAGUUUUUGCUCCUCCUGGAAAAGUUUUCGAGCGAACAGCUACAAAUACAAACCGAUGGCUAGAAUGGAGCCAUCAAAGCAGUCCACUAUCCCUGCUCCUUUCUCCGAGCCAUUGGCUUUAUGCAUAUUAUGUUUUCCGCCCCCUCACUCUCCGCCUGUUUUUCUGUUAGCCUAGUUCUCAUUUUGUUGUUUUGAUUCUGCUGCCCGCCUAGAAAACAUUUUCUACAAAUUGAAUAUCAUUUGCAGCAGCUGCGAGCUUUUCCCGGCAGUUUCCCCUUCCCUAGGCGCUUUUUUCGACCUGCUACCUUCCAGUUUUGUGUAGCGACCUGGGAAAAUACUUUAAUUACUUUUAGUCAUCGGGGUGCGCCCACCUGCUCUUGGACCCGUUUAACGCCUUUCGUUUGGCAAUCAAAUUGAAAAGUUCAACUGCAAAAAGGGACCAACACUCUUUUCAAUGUCCUGCGCGAGGGAUACCAACUCGAAGCCCCAAAGGCCGAGCCGACCACCCACUCCAUUCAAUUGAGUCGAGCGAGCCGGAACGUUGUCGAAAUAUUAACAAGUUGGGCACAAAUAUUCAAGAGGUGUGGGCUGGGUGGUUUCGUUGAAGGACCCUGCCUCCUCCAUCCUGUCGACGUUCUCCCCCACUGCACUUGACAGGAGACACGUGUAAAAAAGGUAACCCCAAGCCAGGUGUGGAGUUGGGGUAUGCGGUAUGCUAGGGAUCUCAUUUGGGUGCCACUUGGCCUUUGGCAACAUGCAUGCACGGGGGUGAAAGGUCCUUGUCCUUGCCCGUUACAUUUACAUGUUCCCUUCGAUGGCAAAUGGUAUUUGAACAUCCAGAAAAUUUACGAAAUUCACUCUUUACACUACGAACUUUGUCACUCUGAAUAAAUUCGACCCUUUCACCUCAAGAUAUUUUUCGAAAAUUGGCACAGCAGGUGCAUGUUAUGGAAAAUGCAUAUACAGCAUGAAAAUCAGUGCAACACAUGCGAGCAAAAAUAAAAUUGCCUGUUUACAAUGUAUGUUUUGAAUCAAGUAUAUGAUAUAGACACUCGAAAAAAAAAAACAGUAAUGAAAUAUACAUGAAUUUACCCAACUGUGGUUAAUGCUUCUAACAGAAGCUUAUUCUCUUCGCUAGUAUUGUUUUUCUUUGUUAUACACACUUCAAUUUACUUUCCGGAGCAGUGCUUCUAAAUAAAUAGAUGCACAAAAUGCACAAAAUACGUUUAGCAUAACAAAUUGAAUUGAAUUCUCCGAGCGAGUGUCAUUGAUGGACUAACAAACACACACGCACACACACACAGGAAGGAUAAUAGAACUAGGCCGGAAGUUGCCGGCAAAGAUCUGUAGUCAUCAAUAAACCAUAAUCAGCUUAGCAAACUGGACAUCAAACUGCCAGGGAAUUACGAUGUGACAUUAGCAGCGAACAAAGAGUUUGUUUCAUCUCUCGACGGGCCAACGGGGCGCAUUAAAGUUGCGCAUACGCCUCGUGUGGCAUACGCAAUGCAAUUUAGGCAGGGUUAUAUAAAUGGCAAACGUUGUUUUGUCAACAUCGUCAUUCCCCCCUAUCAUCACCAUGGUACACACUCCCCCCCUCAUAAGCAUAUGCUAAUUUCCUUGUUUGAUGCAAGCUCUCCAGCAAGAGGUGACUCAAUAGCUGGGCUGAACCAGUGAAUGAGCAACUGAAUGAAUUUCAAGCACGGUUCUUGCUCUCUGGCUUAAUAUGCCAAGCGAUAACAUUUGAGGAGGGUGUUCCACGGUCUGGUAUCUUGGUUUCUACACUCCGCAGGGAGAAGAAUUGGUGGGGCUGGGCUGGGCCGGGCCGGGUGGGGAAGCAUAAACUGGGAAUGCCAAUGGCACACUUUCAGGCCCCCAGACUGCCAGACCAUGUGUGAAUGUUGAUGCGUGUGCACCCGCCUGUGCUGAGUAUAAGUACCCAUACAGACAGUAAAAGAUAACAUCAAGGCAGCCACGCUAAUUGUUGUUGCUUUGUUGACUUUGCCAUCGCUAAUAGAGGUGAGAGCGUGAGUCACGACAAUCACUAAUGUUGUAUAAAGUUUCAAAAUGUAUUUUAGAUAUUAGUACUUUAAUAUAAUUGUCAUAAAUAUGAUGAGCCAUUUCCUCUACUCUCUUUUGGUUGAAAAAUGCGCUGUGUUUUCCAAUUUUACAUGCGUUUUAUCAUUCCCUUUCGCUUUGCACACCUGUCGAAUGUCAACUUUUAUCACUCUUCGCCUUCCCAUCCUCAUCAAUCACAUUCGAAACGAACCAGCAAGCAGCACAAGCACCCACCAGCAACCCAAACCCCCAUUUUCCACCUGUUUGUCACCUGCCGCCGGGUGGCUCCUCGGGCAAAUGGAACGUGACCAUUUGACCAACGUGCCGAGCAUUGGGACUCAACAAAAUGCGUUAAGAGAAGGGUUUGGAGCGGAAUCCGAUGUUCUUAACGGUUAUUGCGUUUUAAGACAGCAAACAGUUCUCGGCUGCCAUAAAUUCAUUGAAAGUGCCUCCGACUCAUAAUUCAAGAUUAAGCUCAAGGAGAAUUUGAAAACUUUUCAGCUGCCCACAGACUCACUACCGCGCUCGACUAUUUCCCAGAAAAUUUAUCAGCUCCGGCGGCACUAAAUGGCAAGUGCUCAACACAAAUCCAGAACUUUUCCCGCUCCAUUGACAAUAUUUCCAUAAGAUUUACUAUUUUAAUAUUUACUUUUGGCGCCACAACAAAUCGGGGAGAAAUAAAAUCUUAUGGCCAGUUGAAAAUUUCUCUCGCUUUUUGAAAUUGAUGUUCCGGAAAUAUGGAAAGGGAACAGAUGUUCUAGGCAAUUAUUUUUCAGAACGGAAAAAAAGUUAUAAGAAGCCAUUUCCAAUUAUUACAUUACUAUAUUUAUCACUCGUUUGAUUUAAUAAUACAUACUUCACUAUCAUGUAGGUCAAAGUACAUUAAUUUCUUUGUCCGGAUUCUAAGCAAUUGCUAAUCACUGACAUAAAGUAAUAUCUAAACGCUAUUAAUGUUCCUUGAUAAGUGAAUAGCAGUCGCUUGACAACAUAUAUUGAUAAUUUCUCCCUGUGUCGAUUCCAAUUCCAGUUUUUGCCAGAAUUGAUAUACAAAAGCGAUACAAGGGAAAUUGAUUUGCAACUUGAAUAGAAGAAAAGCGGCCAGCUCACCUGCCGCAAAAAGGAAAACAUUUAUUUUCGAGAUCAGCAAUCGGGAGCUUCAAGAUUGAGGACGAACCAUAUGUACAUUAUUGAGAGGCACACAAAAAUGUUUUUCCAUCCCGGAAGCGUUGGCAGAGGAAAGGAAAACCCAAAUCAGAAUUCAUUUUCCACCUGCCAGCGGAGAUAGGAGUUGUGCCAAAAACGGGGCCAGCAAAAAAAAAAAGGGCGAUGGAAGUUCGGUUUCAAUUUGUUGGAAAAUAGAAAAUUGCAUAAUUGAGGGAUUCCUCGCUGUGGGAGUCACAAAAGCUAAAAAAUAGGAACAAAAACGGAAAAACACAGCAACUGUGGUUGGGCGCCUCCUGCAGCUCUGAUGGAAAUUCCCAUUUCCACAUUUCCCCCGCCCGCAACUGCAACUUCCGCCCUUUAUUUCUCGCUUUUGUUUCGGCAUUGUUUGUGAAAUAUUGGUCAGCGGUUUUCACUCUUCUGGCCUUUUUCUCCCUCCCCCUCCCCCUCCCUUCAUCAUGCAGGAAUUUUUACCCAGCCAGAAACGUUAUUAUGGUUGCCUGCAACGUGAAAUAUUUGACAACAGUUUCGGGGUUUUGCAUUAAAUUACGUAAUGUUUUGGAAAAGGAACUUCAUCAAGCUGUUCGGCGCAGUUGAGGGCAUAAAUCAAACGGAAAAACCGGGAGAAAACUCAGCUUUUCACGCGGAGGCGCGACUUUCGUGAAAAGCUUCGCUACAGGGCAGCUUCAUCAUCAUUUAACGCUCGCUGGUCGUCAUCUGUCAUGAAUGCGGAUUGCCGCAAGUAGCUCAGUUCGCAAUUUAUAUUUCACUUCAGUUCAAGGUCACCUUGAUAGCUGCUUAAAAUAUAAAAUUCGCAAAAGAAUUUUCAUUGAAUAAAACAUGGACACAAGAAGUACGUAGAAUAUUUUUAAAAUAACUAAACUUUAUAUUAAGUAUUUCUUUCCAGACCUCCCCGACUACCGUCCCUUUGUUCGCUCUUUCGAUUUAAUGAAGCGCAUUUCCCUGGCGCAAACUUUGAACUUGAGGCAAACAAUGUUCAUUAUGGACCCAUGGAAAACCCAACUCAAUCCAGCGGGUAGAGAGCAAAUGAGAUGGGGCAGGGCGGGAAACCCCCUCGAUCCCUCGAUGGUCGCUGGCAGACAAAGGCACAUAAAUUAUUAGAUGAGGCAAAAGCGUUGCUAAAGACUUUUUAUUUGACUUGAAGUUUCCUUUGGCUCAUUUCACUUCUUGUCUGCUGCUUAUUCGUUUCUUUCUCUGGCCAUUGCCAUUGUGCUCUCUGGCUCCUAGUGACCACUUCAUUUUUAUCAUAUUUUUUCUCCACACUUUCAUAGCUACCAACUUUACCCUAUCAUUUGUUCUAUAAAGUUUUUUUUCCCCACUUUCGCACUCCGUCUGUUUCAUUCUUGUACGGCUUUUUAUGGCUCCUAUUCGAAGGCUUAGACUUGUUUGUCAAUUUGGCCAGCAAAUGUGUUACCCAUUAGAAAUAAACUCCCCUUAAGGCGCCCCCCCUUAUCAUCCAUUAAUGGAUGUUCUCAGUUUUUUUCCACUUCUGUUUCACUUUUGACGCACAUAAGAAAAAAUACAAAGCGCGAAUAGCAAAAAGUAAGCUUAAAAGUACCGAAACUUGCUAGCGACUUAAGGCGAAUUCCAUUAACUAAUUGCUAUUGCACACAUACACAGAGAAUUUCUAAAUUCUAAAUUGAUUCAUCAUGCGCUACAAUUAGCAAACAACUUAAAAAUUGUAAACAAGUCGGGUCGACCCUCCAGCAUCCAGGUCCUUAUCAUCAUUAUGAUCCUCCUGAUGAGUGGAUGCGGUUUUUCCUGAGAGACGAAUUUCAAAUUUUCUAAUUAGCGCCGCAGUUGCUU
rnacentral:sRNA from 1 species